GGCGAACGGGUGCGUAAAACGUGAGAAACCUGCCCCGGUCUCUGGGAUAACAGUUGGAAACGACUGCUAAUACCGGUUGCCGACGGACCAUCGCAUGGCGGACCGACGAUAGGGUUACCGGAUCGGGAGGGUCUCGCGGCCUAUCACCUUGAUGGUGAGGUAACGGCUCACCAAGGCAUCGACGGGUAGCUGGUCUGAGAGGAUGAUCAGCCACACUGGCACUGAGACACGGCCCAGACUCCUACGGGAGGCAGCUGUGGGGAAUAUUGCACAAUGGGCGAAAGCCUGAUGCAGCAACGCCGCGUGCCGGAUGAAGGCCCUAGGGUUGUAAACCCCUUUCAGCAGGGAAGAAAAUGACGGUAACUCUAGAAGAAGGUGCGGCCAACUACGUGCCAGCAGCCGCGGUGACACGUAGGCACCAAGCGUUGUCCGGAUUUAAUGGGCGUAAAGACCUCGUAGGCGGUUAAGUAAGUCGGGUGUGAAAACUCUGGGCUCAACCCAGAGACGCCAACUGAUACUGCUGUAACUAGAGUGCGGAAGGGGAGCGGGGAAUUCCUUGUGUAGCGGUGAAAUGCGCAGAUAUUACGACGAACACCAGUGGCGAAGCCGCCGCU
rnacentral:rRNA from 1 species